CUGGCUGGUAAUUUUCAGAGUGGGGUAGAGACACUGAUAAUCCCUCACACUACUGUCUAGUUAAUAUUUUUAAGAUUUGAGAGAAAGAGAGAGAGAGAGUGUGUGUGUGUGUGUGUGUGGGUGGGUGGAUGGGUGGGUGGCAGGGGCAGAGGGAGAGGCGGAGAAAGAAUCCUCAAGCAGACUCUCCACUGAGCGUGGAGCCUGACGUGGGGCUCGAUUCCAGGACCCAGAGAUCAUGACCUAAGCCGAAAUUUAGAGUUGGCUGCUUCACCAACUCUGCCACCCAGGUGCCUCUGUCUGGUUAAUAUUUAAUGUGAAGACUCAACAAGUAUUUUUGACCAAAGCAGAAUGGGAAUGGCAAGACUUCUCACCCUUGGCCACAGGCAAUACCGAACUAAUCUCUAAAGAUCUUUCAAGGAUCCCCUUAAAAAGAUGUGCAUGUCAACCUCAGUUAAGAAUCAGAUCCAUAAAUACCUAUUAAACAGGGUGAGGGACACAUCCCAGAAUUGCAAUGAACUCCUGGCUUGCUAUGGACCUGGUCAGAGGCAGCUCCAUGAGGGGAGGAAAUGAGUCACAAUCACCUUGGAAUCCUCACACUCACCAUUGUGUCUGGUACAUACUAUGUAUGUGAUCAAUCUUGCAAAAAUGAAGGAAGACCUUAUUUAGGUGUCUGCCCAGCCAAGGAUGCCCAGAGCAGAUGUCCUCCGCAUGCACCAGUCCACCGCGCUGAUAAACUCCAGAAAGACGCAAGGCCCACCUUAGCCAGUUUACACACAUGGUGUCUGAUCUUUGCAAAACCUGGCUUCCCUGACCAUUACCUUCCUUCUUCACAGGGUUUCAGCUCUCUCUGUGUUGAAGGAAAUUAACACAAAAUAAGUUGAUCUUGAUGAGUAGGAUUCAAAUCAAUAAUGUUAAUUGGGCUCCUGAGCAUAAGAUAAAAUGACUUCAAAUCAACAAAAGGUUAAUAUAACUUUCCCUUCAUGCUGCACUACCUAUGAUAAAUCUAUAGUGGUCUGAAAUUUCCAAUAUCAUUAACAACACAUUUAACAUGCUAAAAAGACGGGAACACUCUCCUUACAUAAUAUUUUCUCUGUGCCCACCAGCAGGUUAACUCACUAUUACAAAGCAUAUCCAAUUAUGUAAUUAAGUUAUACUUGAAUAAGGGAGGGAUGUACUCAAUGGUGAGGAUUUCUUUUAAACUUUAAUUUCAUUACUGUCUUCAUGUUCUACCUACUUCCCCCUCCCAAUGGCAGUUUAUAGAAUUACUGGAUAUUUUCUUUUACAGCCUAUUUCAUACUAGAUGAUGUUAGCUAGCAAAGAAAAAAAAUCAUUCAGCAUUCUUAUUGUGCACAUGCAACAUGCAGGGAUCCAACAGAAAACAUAACGUCCUCUAGGACUUCACAACCUGCUGGUCUUCCCUAAGCUGAAUCCAAAGUGAAAUUUAGAAGCUUUAUUUCCCAGUUGAGGUCAAGAAAUCAGUUCGACAC
rnacentral:lncRNA from 1 species